rnacentral:misc_RNA from 1 species
GAAAUGCGAUAAGUAAUGUGAAUUGCAGAAUUCAGUGAAUCAUCGAAUCUUUGAACGCACAUUGCGCCCUCUGACAUUCCGGGGGGCAUGCCUGUCCGAGCGUCAUUACGCACCCUCAAGCCCGGCUUGUGUGAUGGGCCCCGGCGUCUCGUUCGCGAGACGGGCCCGAAAGGCAGCGGCGGCGUCGACCCGAUGAGCCCGAGCGUAUGGGGACUUCUGUCACACGUUCGCGGUGCGGACCGGCGCCUGCUUGACUUUUCUGAUUAUCCAGGUUGACCUCGGAUCAGGUAGGGAUACCCGCUGAACUUAAGC